UGGCAGAUUACUGUAACGCUAUUGUACAACAACUUCCUGCCUCUUUUGGCUCUGGUUCUAAAAACUGCAAUGGCACAGCUCGUGGCUUUAACUUUUUCCCCCCUCGGCCUUGAACUUCAGGAGCUCUAGAAGGAAACAAAAGGAGAAAGGGGAUAAGUAAAGUGUAUCUGUUGCUGAGGAACUAUUUUGAUUUGCUUUCCGCUUUAGAAAACUGCUGAGAAUUAAAGAGGGGGACUCCAAGCCUAGCAGAGACUAUGAGGGAGAGAGAGAAAAAAGAAGGGUUCGGAAAGAAGAGGAGGAGGAAGAGAGACACAGGGAGGAAAAAGUGCAAGGGAGAGCUACUCCUGAGAACAAGCUGGAAAUUAUGGACCUUUUCGAUAUCAGACCUCGGAGUGGACGACCUAUCCUAAGAGGGACGCACCCUAACUGUAACUAACAACUACUUCUGGCAGCCCCUCAACAGCCAGACAUAUUGUCCUGGAUCAGGGCCGCUUUUGCUUGGCAGCAUUAAACGAGGGCAGCUUAGGCGAGAAUACACUGAAAUAUCGAUAAUAUUAAGGCGUUUUGACAGCGGUGCAUUAAAAGUAAACGAAUACACAGAUAGAAAGAUAAAGGCCGAGCAAAGAAACAAUACACCUACAGGGUUUUGCUCUUUAACCCUUUCUAAACAUGGCCGAGGUGAUACAUGGGGAAAAUGACAUGAAAACACAAUUUUAAUACACAACGGUGCUAGUGUGUAUUUUUAUUUAAAAUUUAAUAUCAUUCCUUAAAUAUUUCCAAGAACUACUUUAAGCCUGUGCCAUGACAAGAUAUAAAAAUUAAAAAAGCAUUAAUAUGUCAUGUUGGUUAAAUACGGAUUUCACAGUGCUAAGACAAAAUAUUUUCGUUUUCACUUGGAACUAAGUAUAAACUUAGUUUAAUUUAAUAUAUGAAAUCCUUAAAUACUACAAUUUGCGUCAAAUUAAAUACUAUUUCAUGUACACAUUUUAUAGGGUUGAAAAUAACAAAUUCAACACAUAGGAAAUAUGUGCUACCUGGUGUUGGCUACACUACACUGUGCUCAGUGCAGCACUGAGAUAUUAGGCUGCUGGGACAAAUUCUCUAAAAUCAAUGACACUUAAUAAUUAAAAAAAAAAAAAGAGUAAAAUCUCAUUUUCUGUCCACUUCACUUCCUGCAUCAGACUUCUACAUACCUGAACUCUAUUCUUUUCCAUUUUUUCCCUGAGGGCUGCUAGUGCCUUCUUAAACAACCUUGGCUAUUUCGUUUUAUUCUCCCUCGUCAGUAGUAGCCAGCAGUGCACAGCCCUGGCAUUUUAGGGGCCACGUCACAGCGCCUGUGUCUGCGCCGCAGGGCUGCAAGGAGUCCAACAGCCGAGCCAUACGCACUCAGCAGCUCGCUGCCUCAACAAACACUUUAAGCGUGCUGUUUUGUUAUCUUACACACUCAUUUUUUAGCAUCCUUGCCUCGCUGAGAACAGAAAAACACGCACCUAAUACACUUCAUCCGUUUCAUAAACACGCUCGUCUCCCGGUGCCCGCUCCAGCGCAGUGCCACUGAGGCUUCAGGCCCUGAAAUCACUUCACAGCCCUCUGCUCCUCCUGAUUACCACCGCGGAGUUAGCUCAGCCGCAAAAUAUCUUUACUCAAUGGUAACAAGCGAGACAGGAAAUAUUCUAGAUACUCAUCUAAUUCCCAAUUCAGCAACACUAAAAGAGACCGAGGUCUGUUUCUAGGUAUCUGCAGAAUAUAACUCCACCUGUGGCAUCCCCUUAAAAAGGGACACACAGAUCUGACUUUAAUUUGAAAAUGGAUAAAAAUACUGAUUAGGUAAAUUCCAGCUGGGCUGACAGACUAUAAUUGAUGCAUAUAGUGUUAUUAGCAGGAGGAUAUUUUUCUAUGUGGGAGAAAGGAGCGCUUCAUAGGACAGCUGCGUAAACACACACCUUGCUCCAUGGGCUAUUUCUGCGAUUUUAGUGGCUCUUUCGAUUCCUGCAAAAUAUUAUUUUUUAAAAGGGGCAAAAUAAUGUCUGUUGAAGAUACGCCUCGCUUUUCAAAGAAAACAGACCUCGCGCCAGAGCUGUACAGGUCCACAACUGUACACAUUUUAAUUUUAUCACAUUGUUAUUUCUGCAGAGGUUGCUAUGGUAUGGUAUGGUGUAGUAACUUGUUCCCUGUUUUUUGGAAUAACAACUGUCGUCUCUGAGCGGACGAAUUAAAUAGUGUUUUUUUUUUUUUUUUUUUUUUUUUUGUAUUACUCUGUAUUUGUGACCAUUACUGAAACAAACACACUGCUGGGUAUUCUGAGGAAAUGCACGCUUUAUAAAGUGGUUGUUUCCAUAAACGGUUCUUUGUGUAUUCUUGUGUAUUCACAACUGGUUGCUCCGUGUUUUCAUAUGGAGGUCUGUAUCUGCUUUACAGAGUGUAUUCCAGAUUAAUAGGCUUACUUUGAUACUGCAGCAAAGAUUAAAUUAUGUAAAUAUUUGAAGUCUGUUUUCUAUUUGCUUUGCCUGGAAACUCUUCAAGUUGUUGUUCUCUUGUUAAUAUAAAGGCACUUUGGUUGCAUGUAAUGUGA